rnacentral:rRNA from 1 species
AGUUAAGUGACGAUAGCCUAGGAGAUACACCUGUUCCCAUGCCGAACACAGAAGUUAAGCCCUAGUACGCCUGAUGUAGUUGGGGGUUGCCCCCUGUUAGAUACGGUAGUCGCUUAGCGC